rnacentral:lncRNA from 1 species
CGGGACUUUUACGGCAAAAAGCCGACCGGGAGGUUCUCAAAUGGGAGGAUCACGACGGAUUUCAUUGCGGAGGCCUUCAAGAUCAAGCCGAGCAUUCCCGCGUACUUGGACCCGGAUUAUAAAAUAUCGGAUUUCGCCACCGGAGUGACCUUUGCCUCUGCGGGGACGGGUUAUGACAACGCGACAUCCGAUGUGCUCGUGAGUCUCUCUUCUUAAGAUACCAUGUGUGGCUAGAUCGACCCAUCUGUUUAGUGGAAUGAAUGAAUUAUACCUAAGGAAAUGACCUUGAGAGAGCUUUUUUCUUCUUCUUUUUGUCCCUAUUAUUUCAGACAACGAAGAACUGCAAUUCCAAUAUAUUAGGUUAAGCAUUUUUUCAAAGUGACAUUAUCAUAAUCACAUGUUUAUGUUUGGUUUGCAAGUCUGUGAUACCCCUGUGGAAGGAAAUUGAGUACUACAAGGACUACCAAAAGAAGCUAAGAUCGUACCUCGGGCCGAGCUCCGCGAACCAGGUGCUCGGUGAGGCGCUCUACAUGAUCAGCAUCGGCACGAACGACUUCCUCGAGAACUACUACACGAUGCCGGGCCGCCGCUCGCAGUUCUCUGUGACACAGUACGAGGACUUCCUCAUCGGGAUUGCGGAGAAGUUCGUGAGGGACCUCUACGGCCUCGGGGCGCGCAAGAUAUCGUUCGGGGGCUUGCCGCCGAUGGGGUGCCUGCCACUCGAGAGGACAACGAACGUGAUGGAGCAGAACCAGUGCGUGGAUAAUUACAACGACGUGGCCUUGGAGUUCAACGGCAAGCUGAAGGGCAUGGUGGGGAGGCUGAGCUCGGAGCUCAAGGGGAUCAACCUGGUGUUCUCUAACCCGUAUUACAUCACGAUGCACAUCCUUCGGAGGCCCGCUUCCUACGGUGAGUCCUCUUUUAAUCAGCUCCAUCCUUCGUAUAUCUACGUAUUAUUUCGUGUAGUCAGCAUCUCGGGCAGGCUGGCGUGUGCCAUAAAAAGCACUACUCACGUUUCAAGAAAAAGAAUUCGUUUAAGCUUGAUUGAAUAGACUCAAAAGCGGAAUAUUACUAAAAAAAGUCAUUUAUCUAUUUUAAUUAUGUAAAUCCAGUACUAAAUUUUUUUUUUGUCAAUUCAAUUCUAAACAUUUUGUGAUUGUGUCAAUUCAAUUCAUCUCGGCUGACGCUAACGUGAAUAAUUUUCAAUAAUAAUUUAUUUAUUUUAAAUUUUUUAUUCUUUUUUCCUUUCUUCCUUCUUUUCCCUUUUUUUCCCCAUUGUGCCAAGAAGGCUUGCCAGCCUCGCCAUGGUCUCCCAAGCCUUGGGCGAAGGCGUCCUCACCACCUAGAUCUAGGCAAAGCCACCUUGCUCACGGUCCCUAGGCCUCGCCUAGAUCAACGUUCAUAUUAGUAUUAACUGGCUAAAAUUGGCCGGAUGAACUAAAUUAUUUUAGAAUGGAAUUGACAUAAUUACAAUAGAUUUGAGACUUUCUUUUUUUUGUGGUAAUUUUCCCCUAAAAAUCUAAUAAAGGCUGCUGACUAUUCAUCUCAUCCUUCUUCCCUGCCGGUAGGAGAUUCGUAGGGACCCACAUGAAUCCGGCAUUAAAACAAGUCACGGGAUACGAGUGGUGAGGAUGGGACCUAGAGAUGUACCAUGUAGGCAUGCUGGUUUUUAAUGUAUGGCGUGGCUCUUGUGCUAGGUAGACAUCGACUCCGGAGGGAUUCUAAGACGUUUACACGAACAAGGUCUCGAUAUAAGUAUAGACAAUAUCGCAUGAUCUUGGUCUAGAAAAGCUCAAACUGAUUUCGAAUCUUCAUCUCAUUUAGGAUACGAAUAGAGUAAAAUUUUUACAUCGUGUUAGUUCUGUUGUUCCGACAUGAUUUCCCCACGUUCUUGGAUGUUUGUAGGGUUCGAGUCUACGUCGGUCGCGUGCUGUUCGACGGGAUUGUUCGAGAUGGGAUACGCGUGCCAGCAAAACAACCCUUUCACGUGCCAGGACGCGAACAAGUACGUGUUCUGGGACGCUUUCCAUCCCACCGAGAGGACCAGCCGCAUCGUCGCCGAUUACGUCAUGAGGACAGUCUUGGCUAGAUUCGUUUGAUCGCUGCCCCGCUACCUGCGGAUCCAUAUACAAUACCAUAUCGUAUGGUCUACGUGUAAUACGGUCUUUGUCAUUUUGUAGAGUCUACAUGCUCUCAGUGACUAUGUCUACGUGAUCUUGUGUAUAAUGUAAGUACUCGCGCGAGCGCUAUUGGGCGUAAUGCUUUGUAGUAGAAUUAUACGGUGCGAGCUUUUACUUAUUAAUUUCACAUCUUUCCUAUGUUGUUUUGAAUAUUAUUUUUGCUAUUUGAUAUCAAUGCAAUAUGUUUAAAAAAAAAUUGUACUUUUCUCAUAUAUUUUUAAUUCAUUUAUUUCUUGAGUUCUUGUAUCUCUUGAGUUCAUGUAUCUCUUGAAUACAUGCAUCUCUUGAGUUAAUAUAUCUCUUUAGUACAUGACUUCUCAAUCUCCAUAAAUUGAUACGAACUGUUCUUCAUUUGAACUAGAACAAGAAGAAGAAAAACCUCACAUCUCUUCACUUCAAUCUUCUUCGAUUGUGCUGAUUUGAGAAUUAUUCGAUGGAGUCCUAUUUGCAUAAUGUUAAUUCAAAUAGGUUUGUAGUGUUGUAUCUUGGAAGGCAUAAUUCGUAAAGCUACUUAACACCGUUUGCAGAAACUAAUCAACUUAAGGAGAUUUAGUUAGCUAUACCUUACACCAAUCAAUUUUACUUGUAAAGAUUAUAUAUAUAUAUAUAUAUAUAUUGACUUGGUCGUCAUUAUUAAUUUGUUAUCACUUUCGGCUUUAAUCACGGUAAACAGUGCGGAGUUGCAAACAUAUUUCCAACACCAUUGAUGGCCAAAUCAAGGGACCUCCUUUUUUGGUGGAAAACUUUCAAUGCUCUCAAUUAGGGAAAAGUGUAAAAAAAAAACUAUAAACCUUUUGUAUUUGUGUUAAUUUAGUUUUGAACCUUUUAUUGGUACCACUUUAAUAUUAAGUAUUUUUACUUGGUGCCAAUUUAGUCAUUCCCGGCUAAUUUUAUUGACUGAACGUAGAUCGGCUAACAUGACACGAUUGGCAUUGACCCAGACAACUUAUAAUAAUAUUUUAAUAUUUUUCGAUUUUUAUGUUUUAUUUUAUUUUAUUUUUCCUUUUCUUUUUCUUUUUUCUUCUCCUCUCCCUUCCAUCGGCCGAUCACUAGACCUUGGCAAUAAGCCAAAGGCAACACCCAACGAGGUCAAGGUGGACCUUGCCGGCCACUAGCGAGGCUAGAGCCCUCGCCAAAGGUUGCAAGGGUUGCUCACACUAGGUGAUGAGGCUCGCCCUCGCCGGAUUUGGUGAGGGUCAAGCCUCAUUGGCCAUGGGCGAGGCUAGCUCAAGGCUGCCCAGGCCAUGGCGGCUUGCGUUGGGCUAGUGAGGCAUGACCUUGCUAGAUCCGACGGGGUUGAGCCUCUCCUGGCCACUAGUGAGGCUUACCAGAGGCCGAUGAGGUUGAGGUUGAUCUCAUCAACCAUCGCCAAGGUCCGGCGACCGGCUAGAGGAACGAGGAGAAGAAGGAAAAAAAUAUAUAUAAUUCGAAAUUCGAAAUUUUUUUAAAUAUUAUUAAAAGUUAUUCACGUUAGCACCGGCUAUGCCAUGUCAGUUGACCGGUGUCUAACCAAUAAAAUCCCAUCAAAAUUAGCUAGAAUGACUAAAUUGGCACCAAAUCAAAGGAUUUAGGAAAAAAUUGACACCAAUAAAAGGUUUAGGAUUAAAUUUGCAUAAAUACAAAAAGGUUUAGGACUUUUCUUUUUGACACUUUUCCCCUCUCAAUUACAUUUGGAGUUUUUUCUUUUCAAGUGUUUCGCUAUCUUGGGCGGUUGCAACUACAUGUUGAUGUCAUUAAGUCUCCUCUGUCUCUCUGUCUCUCUGUCUCUCUCUCUCGCUCUCGCUCUCGCUCCAGUUAUCUUGCUCCAGAUAUCUUUUUGUGGACUUUGAGGCCAAUGUUAAUGUUCUCUUUCGGUAGAGCGGUUGGGCAAGUCACUUUGUCUUCUAUGGUUUUUCCACUUUCAUAAUUGCGAGUCAUUAAAUAACCUUGACGACGCCCAUCGUUGGAUCGUCGCAUUGAAAAAGUAUCAGGAGAGUGCAUUUUUUGUCAAACACGCAUGAGUAGUUCCUUUCGCGACUUGAUGAGGUUGAUUUCUGCAUCAAUGGCCUCAUUCUUUACUCGAAGAGUAAAUACGAUGAUGUUUGAUCGCUGAUGAAACUGUUCGAUGGGGGUCCUAAAACCAGCCUUGCCUUUUCUUGUUGGAUUUGAUGAUGCACAGCUGCUCUUCUUCUUUAUAUCAUUUCGGUGUCCGGACAAACCCUAGAAACAUCCCCCAAAAUGACGUGCCACUUUAGCACAAAAUCAAACUCUCUCAGGCCCGACCAAUAAUUCAUGCCAAGUACAAUCCAACCGGUCCACAUUUGACAAUUUCAACGACCUCCUCCAACUAAAAAUCCCGCCCGGCAUCUCUUAUUUAUGACAAGCCCCCUCGACACGACGCCCUCCAAUCUCCCCUCGAGCACCAUACACAGCAGAAAUUAUUAACGAGAAAUGGCCCUCGUCAAGUACGGCGCCGCGCUGUUCCUGCAUCUCCUCUGUUUGGUCACGACAGCAAGCGCCGAAGUCCCGGCGAUAAUCGUGUUUGGAGAUUCCACGGUCGACGCAGGGAACAACAACUACAUCCCAACGAUCGCCAGGAGCAACUUCGAGCCCUAUGGCCGGGACUUUGACGGCAAAAAGCCGACCGGGAGGUUCUCGAAUGGGAGGAUCACAUCGGAUUUCAUUGCGGAGGCCUUCAAGAUCAAGCCGAGCAUUCCCGCGUACUUGGACACGGCUUAUGAAAUAUCGGAUUUCGCCACCGGAGUGACCUUUGCCUCUGCGGGGACGGGUUAUGACAACGCGACAUCCGACGUGCUCGUGAGUCUCUCUUCUUAAGAUACCAUAUGUGGCUAGAUCGAAGCAUCUUGAGAGACCUUUUUUCUUCUUCUUUUUCAACCCUAUUAUUUCAGACAACGAAGAACUGCAAUUUCAAGAUAUUAGGCUAAGCGUUUUUUCGAAGUGAC